GCCCUAACAACUAGCCCACCCGAGAAAGACAACAAACACUAUUAAUAACCCCAAAACUACUAAUAGGAACCACCAAAGCAUUUUUCCGCCCCAGUAUGGGAGACAGAACGGGCCACAGAUGGCGCGAUAGAAAAAGUACCGCAAGGGAAAGCUGAAAAAGAAAUGAAAAAACUCAGUAACGGCCAAAAAAGCAGAGGUUAGUCCUCGUACCUUUUGCAUCAUGACCUAGCUAGCAUCCCCAAGCAAAGUGCACUUCAUGUUUGAAACCCCGAAACUGGGCGAGCUACUCCAAGACAGCCUAUUAUAGGGCACACCCGUCUCUGUGGCAAAAGAGUGGGAAGAGCUUCGAGUAGAGGUGAUAGACCUACCGAGCCCAGUUAUAGCUGGUUGCCUAAGAAUAGAAUAGGAGUUCGCCCUUUUGGCUUCUUUAACCAAUAAGGAAACACCCAUCCCCGACCAAAAGAACACCAGGAGAGUUAUUCAAGGGGGGAACAGCCCCCUUGAAGAAAGACACAACUUUUAUGAAGGCUAAAGAUCACAAGAAACAAGGAAUUAUACCCGAGUGGGCCUAAAAGCAGCCACCCCCCAUAGAAGGCGUUAAAGCCUAAGUAUAAUUUACCAAUGAUACCGACAAAAACAUCUAAAGCCUCUUGACUUAUUAGGCCCUCCCAUGCACCCCUGGGAGAGAUACUGCUAAUAUGAGUAAUAAGAGGGCAAUCGGCCCUCUCCCUGCAGACAUGUGCAUCAGAACGAACCCCCGCUGAAAAUUAACGCCCCCAAUUAAUAGAGGGCACUGAGAGCUACCGGCUAAAACAAGAAGCCCCCUCAACCACCAGCGUAACCCCCACACAGGACUGCUCACGGGAAAGACAAAAAGAGAAAGAAGGAACUCGGCAAACAUCUAGCCUCGCCUGUUUACCAAAAACACCGCCUCUUGCUUCAACAGUAUAAGAGGUCCCGCCUGCCCUGUGACUGAAAGUUUAACGGCCGCGGUAUUUUGACCGUGCGAAGGUAGCGUAAUCACCUGUCUUUUAAAUGAAGACCUGUAUGAAUGGCACAACGAGGGCUAUACUGUCUCCUCCCUCCAGUCAAUGAAAUUGAUCUGCCCGUGCAGAAGCGGACAUAUCCCCAUAAGACGAGAAGACCCUAUGGAGCUUUAGACCUCAAAGCAAGCCACACUAAAACCCUAGACCACCAGGGUUAAACCAUUGGACCCUGCUUGUUUGUCUUUGGUUGGGGCGACCGCGGGGAAAAAUCAAGCCCUCGCAUGGAACGAGAAAAGCCCUCUAAGGCAAGGCCGGCAGGCCUCGCAUCCAGAAAAUCUGACCACAAGAUCCGGCAACGCCGAUCAACGGACCAAGUUACCCUAGGGAUAACAGCGCAAUCCCCUUUUAGAGCUCACAUCGACAAGGGGGUUUACGACCUCGAUGUUGGAUCAGGACCUCCUAAUGGUGCAACCGCUAUUAAGGGUUC
rnacentral:rRNA from 1 species